rnacentral:rRNA from 1 species
GACGAACGCUGGCGGCGUGCUUAACACAUGCGAGUCGAACGGAAAGGCCUCUUUCGGGGGGUACUCGAGUGGCGAACGGGUGAGUAACACGUGAGUAACCUGCCCUUGACUUUGGGAUAACUUCAGGAAACUGGGGCUAAUACCGGAUAGGAGCUCCUGCUGCAUGCUGUGGGUUGGAAAGUUUCGGCGGUUGGGGAUGGACUCGCGGCUUAUCAGCUUGUUGGUGGGGUAGUGGCUUACCAAGGCUUUGACGGGUAGCCGGCCUGAGAGGGUGACCGGCCACAGUGGGACUGAGAUACGGCCCCGACUCCUACGGGAGGCAGCAGUGGGGAAUAUUGCACCAUGGGUGGAGGCCUGAUGCAGCAACGCCGUGUGCGGGAUGACGGGCUUCGGGUUGUAAACCGUAUUCGCUCAUGAAGAAACUGUGUGUGACGGUAGUGGGUAAAGAAGCACCGGCUAAAUACGUG